CUCGGCCGCACCCCGGUUCGCAGCCUGCCUCAAAUCACAACCUCAUCCAAAUCGACCUACCCUACUUCCACCCCGGCCACCUCGCCGCCGAGCACCUUCCGCUGUGGCCGACCACCAUUCGCCACCCCAAGCAUCCCACCGCAGUGCCUCCCCGACUAUUGUCGCCGGCCACCCUUCGCCUCUUCGUCCCAAACUAUCUGCACAAGGACGGGAAGGGAGGGAGACCCGAUGGGCGGAGGAGGUCGAAGCCGUUGCCCACACCGCGGAUCUGCCGCGGGGAUGCGGGAAGAAAGGACGCGGUUGCGCGGCCCCCGGAUCCGGCGAAGGACGUGCGCAAGAGGCGGCCAACGGGGCGCGGGGCACAACUCCAGAUCCGGGCGGCCCGAGCAGAGCGUGAAGCUAGGAAGCGGGCAUAUGCUUUGGGUGGCCGCCUUCGGUGCAGCCGGCGGCAACGGCAUGGCUGUAGUUUGGCGGCUAGGUUUGGGUGCCCCAGUGUCACCCCUGCAAGUGACAGGAAGUGAGCGACCAGGAACCAGAAGAUGCCGGCAGUCUGCAGGCAUUGCAUUGUCUAAAAUGGAUAUGUGGAAUUACCUAGCAAUCAGGUCUUGUACAAUCUGGAUAAAUAUGGAGUGACAUUUGCGAGCUGUGGCAUGGCCUGCACUAACGUUCACAAGGCUGGUGUCUCUUUUAAAAAACCAUGCAUUUAGUUGUUGUUUGCUUUGACCUGAUCUGAUAGCAAGUGUUUUUUAUGCAUCUUUAGUGAAGAAGUUUUUGAGUGGCUGUCUGCUCGGAGCUACCGGAAGAACAGGCUAGCUGCCAACGCACAAAGACCAAGGCGGAGAAUGAAGGUAGAAGCUAGACAGAAUACCCGAGGAAGGUCGACCUCGAGACUUACUUGAGCCACGAGAAUAUUUCCCUUGAGUUCGAGAGGAUGUUCAGUUGCUUCAUCACUUAGCGUUAUUGAUUAUGUACAACAAGUUGUGUCUCAAGCUUGUAAGUUCUGUUACAAGGAUGAGAUUGUUAGAAUGCUACAAAACUUCUACGUGAUAGCAGUUGUACCAGUCAACUAGGAUGUCUACAUGAUGUUUCUUGUAUUCAUGGCAGCAACAAAAUCUUGUGGCGCAAGGUUAAGCUCUGAUCUUCAAAAGCAUUGCAAGCUUGGUGAUUCUUCUGCGGGAGACAUGUGGUCCUGUUUAAAUUAUGCUGUUUCACAUGAUGGUGGCGAGUCUGUUAUUCACAAGACAUCUAAUGAAGUCAUCCAAUAAAAAGGUUCCGAACAAACAAUUUGUCUUCCUAGACAUGGCUGUAGCUGCGUGUCAAGCUCAAACCAUUUGUUUAGCUUAGUUUGAACAAAAGAAAUCUUAUUGUCUAUGUAAAUUCUGUUUAUUGAUGUAGUUGGACGCUACUGAAUGCAUGUAUGGAUGUUGCAGUACUGAAUUUUAAUCA